rnacentral:rRNA from 1 species
UACGGGGGGGGUAAGCGUUGUUCGGAAUUACUGGGCGUAAAGCGUGCGCAGGCGGUUUGCUAAGACAGGUGUGAAAUCCCCGGGCUUAACCUGGGAACUGCGCUUGUAACUGGCAAGCUAGAGUGUGGCAGAGGGGGGUGGAAUUCCACGUGUAGCAGUGAAAUGCGUAGAGAUGUGGAGGAACACCGAUGGCGAAGGCAGCCCCCUGGGCUAACACUGACGCUCAUGCACGAAAGCGUGGGGAGCAAACAGG